rnacentral:rRNA from 2 species
AAACGACUCUCGGCAACGGAUAUCCCGGCUCUCGCAUCGAUGAAGAACGUAGCGAAAUGCGAUACUUGGUGUGAAUUGCAGAAUCCCGUGAACCAUCGAGUCUUUGAACGCAAGUUGCGCCUGAGGCCACUAGGCCAAGGGCACGUCUGCCUGGGUGUCACGC